UCGGCGAGUCAAUUUUUGAAGUAUAAACUAAACAAAGUUACGCGAAUUUUUCUAUAUGGAUUAUCAAACUAAUAUAGGUAGGUGCCCAUUCUGUUCCUAUCUUCAGAAGUUAUUUAUACCUAUGCAAUACCUUCGCUCAGGUUAAAGAAUGGAAUACUAGUCUUGCAUCAAAUAUAUUUUACAUAUCCAUUCGAUGUUUAUCACCAGAAGUUAGUUCUACCUUUGCAGUACCUCUGCUCUACAUACCUCCUCGCUGGUUAAAGAAUGGAAUAUAAAUCUCAUAUCAAGUUGGUGUAAAAAUUUAGUUCAAUAAAUUAAGAAAUUU
rnacentral:lncRNA from 1 species